CAGUCGCCACGGUAAUACGUAGGGUGCGAGCGUUAAUCGGAAUUACUGGGCGUAAAGCGUGCGCAGGCGGUUUGUUAAGUCUGUUGUGAAAUCCCCGGGCUCAACCUGGGAAUGGCAAUGGAUACUGGCAAGCUAGAGUGUGUCAGAGGAUGGUGGAAUUCCCGGUGUAGCGGUGAAAUGCGUAGAGAUCGGGAGGAACAUCAGUGGCGAAGGCGGCCAUCUGGGACAACACUGACGCUGAGGCACGAAAGCGUGGGGAGCAAACAGGAUUAGAUACCCCCGUAGUCCCUGUCUCUUAUAC
rnacentral:rRNA from 1 species